GAGCCCAUGGCUUAAAGGUAGAGCGUUCGAAUCAAAUACCAAAGGUCGCGGGUUCGAAUCCCA
rfam:Schistocephalus solidus strain NST_G2 genome assembly, scaffold: SSLN_contig0017684